GGGGGAAACCUGAUGCAGCAACGCCGCGUGAGUGAUGACGGCCUUCGGAUUGUAAAGCUCUGUCUUCAGGGACGAUAAUGACGGUACCUGAGGAGGAAGCCACGGCUAACUACGUGCCAGCAGCCGCGGGUAAUA
rnacentral:rRNA from 1 species